rnacentral:rRNA from 1 species
GAUGAACGCUGGCGGCGUGCCUAAUACAUGCAAGUCGAACGGGGAGUUCGCAAGGGCUUCCAGUGGCGAACGGGUGAGUAACGCGUGGGUGACCUGCCCCAAAGCGGGGGAUAACAGCUC